AACCUGCCCAAGAGAUCGGGAUAACACCUGGAAACAGAUGCUAAUACCGGAUAACAACAGAUGAUGCCUAUCAACUGUUUAAAAGGUGGUUCUGCUAUCACUCUUGGAUGGACCUGCGGUGCAUUAGCUAGUUGGUAGGGUAACGGCCUACCAAGGCGAUGAUGCAUAGCCGAGUUGAGAGACUGAUCGGCCACAUUGGGACUGAGACACGGCCCAAACUCCUACGGGAGGCAGCAGAG
rnacentral:rRNA from 1 species